rnacentral:rRNA from 1 species
GAUGAACGCUAGCUACAGGCUUAACACAUGCAAGUCGAGGGGCAGCAUGGUCUUAGCUUGCUAAGGCCGAUGGCGACCGGCGCACGGGUGAGUAACACGUAUCCAACCUGCCGUCUACUCUUGGACAGCCUUCUGAAAGGAAGAUUAAUACAAGAUGGCAUCAUGAGUCCGCAUGUUCACAUGAUUAAAGGUAUUCCGGUAGACGAUGGGGAUGCGUUCCAUUAGAUAGUAGGCGGGGUAACGGCCCACCUAGUCUUCGAUGGAUAGGGGUUCUGAGAGGAAGGUCCCCCACAUUGGAACUGAGACACGGUCCAAACUCCUACGGGAGGCAGCAGUGAGGAAUAUUGGUCAAUGGGCGCAGGCCUGAACCAGCCAAGUAGCGUGAAGGAUGACUGCCCUAUGGGUUGUAAACUUCUUUUAUAAAGGAAUAAAGUCGGGUAUGGAUACCCGUUUGCAUGUACUUUAUGAAUAAGGAUCGGCUAACUCCGUGCCAGCAGCCGCGGUAAUACGGAGGAUCCGAGCGUUAUCCGGAUUUAUUGGGUUUAAAGGGAGCGUAGAUGGAUGUUUAAGUCAGUUGUGAAAGUUUGCGGCUCAACCGUAAAAUUGCAGUUGAUACUGGAUAUCUUGAGUGCAGUUGAGGCAGGCGGAAUUCGUGGUGUAGCGGUGAAAUGCUUAGAUAUCACGAAGAACUCCGAUUGCGAAGGCAGCCUGCUAAGCUGCAACUGACAUUGAGGCUCGAAAGUGUGGGUAUCAAACAGGAUUAGAUACCCUGGUAGUCCACACGGUAAACGAUGAAUACUCGCUGUUUGCGAUAUACGGCAAGCGGCCAAGCGAAAGCGUUAAGUAUUCCACCUGGGGAGUACGCCGGCAACGGUGAAACUCAAAGGAAUUGACGGGGGCCCGCACAAGCGGAGGAACAUGUGGUUUAAUUCGAUGAUACGCGAGGAACCUUACCCGGGCUUAAAUUGCAGAUGAAUUACGGUGAAAGCCGUAAGCCGCAAGGCAUCUGUGAAGGUGCUGCAUGGUUGUCGUCAGCUCGUGCCGUGAGGUGUCGGCUUAAGUGCCAUAACGAGCGCAACCCUUGUUGUCAGUUACUAACAGGUUCCGCUGAGGACUCUGACAAGACUGCCAUCGUAAGAUGUGAGGAAGGUGGGGAUGACGUCAAAUCAGCACGGCCCUUACGUCCGGGGCUACACACGUGUUACAAUGGGGGGUACAGAGGGCCGCUACCACGCGAGUGGAUGCCAAUCCCAAAAACCUCUCUCAGUUCGGACUGGAGUCUGCAACCCGACUCCACGAAGCUGGAUUCGCUAGUAAUCGCGCAUCAGCCACGGCGCGGUGAAUACGUUCCCGGGCCUUGUACACACCGCCCGUCAAGCCAUGGGAGCCGGGGGUACCUGAAGUGCGUAACCGCGAGGAGCGCCCUAGGGUAAAACUGGUGACUGGGGCUAAGUCAUAACA